rnacentral:rRNA from 1 species
AUUGAACGCUGGCGGUAUGCUUAACACAUGCAAGUCGAACGGUAGCAGGCCUUCGGGCGCUGACGAGUGGCGGACGGGUGAGUAACGCGUAGGAAUCUGCCUGGUAGUGGGGGACAACUUAGGGAAACUUAAGCUAAUACCGCAUACGCUCCUUAUUGAAAGAUGGGGAGGAAAGCGGGGGACCUUCGGGCCUCGCGCUAUCAGAUGAGCCUACGUCCGAUUAGCUAGUUGGGAGGUAACGGCCUACCAAGGCGACGAUCGGUAGCUGGUCUGAGAGGAUGAUCAGCCACACUGGGACUGAGACACGGCCCAGACUCCUACGGGUGGCUG